AGUCCCCGAGCGGUAGCCGCGCUGGAUCCCGGUGGCGGUCUCCGCGCGGCCGGAAGCCCACGCGGGCGGUGGUGGGGAGGGGCCGCGCGGGCCUGGGGAGGGGCAGCCCUCGGGGAGGUGGAAGCAGGGUCGGUGCACGGCGCUCCUUUGGGAACCCAGCCUGCUGCCUGACCGGAAAAGACCCCCGAGGACCACCUCCUCCUUCCCUCUGAGAGCAGAAAGGAAAAGGCUGCAGGCCUCCUCACCCCAGGUGUUAGCAGGACACCGGAAUCGAGCAGAGACGGGAGGGAGGGCGAGCGCUGACCCACGUCCCUCCCCAGCCCCCCUCAGGGGUCGCUUCUGGAAGCCCCCUCGGCAGAGCUCUUCGUCUGCCUUCCUUUGUAGGUGGCCGGGCGCCCAGGAUCGCAAGGUAUUUGAGCUAGCUGGUAGGAAAGUAUGAAGUGCAUCCAGGAUUUUGUAGAAAGCAUCUGGCAGCCCUACUUCUGUCUGACAAAGAAAACAGCAGCGCCGGCUGACAGGUGUUCCCUUUACGCUGUGGCUGCCAGGAAACUUGGAGUGAGGUUCAGCGCCCAGUGGUGUCAGCCGGCUGAUCUCAAGCCCUGGUCGGGCUUCAGUCCUCUGGUGUUUAUCCAAUUGUCAGUUUUCAAAUUAUGUUUCCAAGCCAUUUAGCACCUCUGGAGGUCAAAGCACUGUCUGCGAAGAGAAAUACACACGUGGCAAAGCCUCUGCCUAUCAAUCUGGAGGGAAACGCAAACACGCUGGGACCUGCCAGCCAGCCUGAUGGGAGCAGCAGCACCUGGGUGUGUGGACGCUUUCGUGAACACAGGAGGACAUCCCGGGAGGUAUCAGGGCAAAAAAGGCUACCAAAAUAAUAGAGUCAGGUAUGAUCACUAACUUGACUGCAUUUGUACUCACAGGGACACUUAGGGACAUUUGAGUUACGUCCAAAAAAAGUGAGAAAAUGACCUAAGUGAAAUUGGAUGGGAGUGCAAGGGGUGAAGUGAUCCACUAUGACCUAGAAUCAGGGCAGGAGUUAGUAUUUGCACUGGGUCUUAACUGGAAGAGUGGGGCCCAGCAGUCCAGGGAGGGACAAGCGUAUGCAAAAAUACAGAGGUAAGAGGUAGAUGACAUUCCAGGCUUUUUGAGCUCGUGGUGGGGUACAAAUAUUCAGUGAGAGAGGAGGAAAGGGCAGUUGGGCAUAGACCAUGAAAGGACUGGGGUUCUUAUACACAUGUGAGACUUUGGGAGGCUUCACUCCCUUGUCACCCUAAGCCACUGAGGUUAUAUUCUUCCUUCCUCCCACACCUUUGCUGUUUCUUCUAGAGGAAGAACAGACCCUCCUCUUUGGGAGGAACUCUUCCUUCUUUAGAUAACGGUGGUGAUAUUUUCUAGCCUGAAAAUUACAGCAUAUACUCUAAGAUGUUUCAUCAUUUGAAAAGUCUUACAAAGGUAUAUCGAGGUAUUGAGAAUGUCAAGGCAGUUCAGAGUAACUCUCGAACUUUAGCCUGCCGAGGACUCUCAGGGACAUUGGUUCAAAUGCCGAUUCCCGGGCCCUGCUCUCCAAAGACUCUGAUUUUAUAGGUCUGAGUGGGACCCGGGGAUCUGCAUUUUUAACAGUGAUUCAGGUGGUCGUCAAACCACACUUGAGAAGUCCUGAGUUAGAGCUUACGGUGUGCAGUAUGGGCAGAGCGAAAAGUGAAAAUAGGGAAUGAAAUCAGGACAAGUCAGUCUGCAAAGGGCCUCCUGCACUGCCCCUGGAGUUUGGACUUUACCCUGUGGGCUGAAGGGAGUGGGUAGAGAUUGUUAUGUCAUGUGGUUGUUUUUAGAUGCUAAUUCUAGAGAACUUCAUUCACUCCAAUUCCCUUGCCUUAGCUGCUUUUGUCUUUAAAUAUUCAUUCACUAAUUCAAUCAACAAAAUUUGGGGGUCAAAAAAAUAGGCUUUAAACUGUGGGGGAUUACCAAGAUAAAGUAAGCAUAGGUUCUCACCAACUUGAAAAACUGCCCAUUGACCCUUCUUCCCUCAGAAGUGACUAUGGGUUGAAACCGUAGCACCCUUACUCCAAGGUUGGAAGAUUUUUGUGGAAAAUGAACAUAUUUUAUUAGAAGACAUGGAGGACUUCCUGGAGCAGGAUGGGCAAACACACCCUAGUGUUUACCUGAUAUUGGAAAGGAAAGUUUUCCUCCUGCCUCUGCAGCCUUGGGUGAAUGUGUAUGUGAAACACAGAUCACCGCUAAUGUGUCCCCAGUUCAGAUUUCUGCAUCUGCAAGUUCAGAAUUAUGGUGAUUUUGACAAGUGGCAUCACACCCAAAGCCAUCUUUUACCUCUUCUUUGCUGAUUGCUUACUAUCAAGACUCAGCUCAAAAAUCAUCUCCUGGUUGGAACUUUCCCCACCUUCCCGGGGAAAAAGGAAUGGCUCUGUGCUACAUGCUUCUGGGAAUGUCCAACAUGAAAAAUAAAAUUUUGAAAAAGUUGCGGGACAGUCAGUAGGGAAAACUUAAUAUAUGCUUAUAGUUGUCACAUUUAAAAUUUGUUAUUUGUCAACACUUUAAACGCAUUAAGGAAGAAUUGAAGAGAAUAGUGAAAAUUUAACACGACCCAAAGGAAAGUGUUAAAGGAGUAAGAGAUAGCUGGAAACUGUUUUUUAAAUUUGAAUUUUCAUUCCUGAUUUUUAUUGAAGUUAUGUUAACAAUCUCAGGCUUUAGAAGUUACUUAAAAACUGUUACCAAAUUAUAACAUUCAACAUAGAGUUAUAUCUUUAAAAAAUAGAAGCAUUCAAUUGAGAAAAAUAUAAAUAGAUAGGAGAGAUAAAAUAGUACUUUAAAUUUUAGGAGGUAGAUUCAUCUUUUAUGAUUCUUUUAUUUUCAUAAUGAAGUUUUUCACUCACUAGCCUAGCAUUAAUUACCAAACUCCAGAUAUACUAUCUACUAUGCUAAAAAAAAACAAAACUUAAGCUUUCACUGUAUAUUGAAACUUAUUAACAUUGUAAAGAUAAUUUUUUAAAUUGUAAUGACAAAUUACUUAUUAAAGUGAAAUGUGUCUUAAAUUUAAUGGACUUACAGCUAAAUAACAAAAUGUUUUCAAGUGUAACAAUUAAGAAAAAUGAAAUAUAAAAUUUUUAAAAGAUAUCUAUGAAGCAGUAUGAAUGCUCUCAAAGAACCAUCAAAAAUAAGGAAAAUAUAAAUAAUGUCAUUUUAUAUUUCUCCUUUUUUCAGUUCUAGUCUCUGGAUAACACCUCUUACUGGUGAUUGCCUUCGUUUUGUAGGUCUAGCUCUUCUAAUUCUAAUUGAAUGAGAGAGUGUAUAUAAAGAGCUUAGAACAAUCUUCACCCCUGGUAUGUGCUCGAAAAAUGGCAACUAUUGUUCAUUAUACAAAUAAUUUAUAGAAAUCAAGGCUUCUGGUAAGGCAGAGCCAUGGAUAAUUUAAAGGUUUUAGCUUAAUCAAUUUGAAAAAAUGAGAAUUAGAAAAAUCUUUGGGAGUAUUUACUAAAAAUAUAACUUCAAUAAUUUGCUGUAGUCAUUCUAACUCAACAAUGUUUAAAUCUUUUGUAUCUUUUUAAUAAAAGUUUUAAUAUGCCUAAAGGAAAGCUACUUGUGUUACAGUUAGAUAUUUAACCUAAACACUUUCAUUUCCAUUAUCUGGCAUACUGAAACUGCAAACUCAUUGUCAUAGUGAGAUGUUUCAACAAUGUUUAUAUCGUGUAAACAGAGGACCAUGACAGAGCAAGUUAUUUUGAAACAACUUAUUAAUAUGUGAACAUCAAAGUGCUUAGUAUGAAAAAAAUAACCACUGGAAGCAUGGCUUUGAAAGAACAAUAACCGGUUGACUUUGUCUUAGGUAUCUAUUGCUGUACAACAAAUUACUGUAAUCAUAGCAGGUCAAAGUAACGAUAAACAUGUAUGACUUCCCAGUCUCCAUAGGCCAGGAACUUGGGAGCAGUUAGCUGGGUGAUUCUGUCUCAGGGUCUCUCAUGAGGUUAUAGUCCAGAGGUCGUCCAGGGCCACAGUCACCUAAAGGCUUGCAUGGGGCUUAGGAUCUUUUCCAAGAUGACUCACUCACCUACUGCUAUUUGUUGACAAAAGGCUUCACAUGAUCCCCUCUAGGCUUCUCCAUGGGCUGCUUGAGUAUUCUCAUGGCGUAGUGGCAUGCUUUCCCUAAAAGUCAGGCAUCGAAGAGAGCAAGCAGGAAGCCACAUUGUUUUUAUGAUUUAGCCUCAGAAGUCACACAUGGUUGUUUCACAAUAUCCUGUGGGUUACACAACUCCAUCCUAAUAAAAGUUGGAGGGGACUACAAAAGAGCAUGAACACGAGGAGUUGAGGAUCAUUAGGGUCCAUCUUGGAGGCAGGCUACCAUGAACCUUACUUGAAAUCUAAUGCUUAUAAAGUACUACAUAAGGAAAUUGUCAGUUUAGAAAAUCAUGUUAAAUUCAGCUCAACAAGCAUUUUUUUUUAUUUUUACCUGUAUGUAUUUCUAAAACAUAUACUUUUAUUUGUUUGUUUUUAUCUUUAUAAUAAAAAAAAAGGUAGCAUGCUGUAGCUAAUCUCUUGGCACUUGAUACUUUUUGCUUGCUACUGUAUUUGUAAGAUUUAUCCAGUUGUGAGUGUUGUCGUACUUUAUUAGUUAAGAAUGCUGUGUAAUAUUCCAUUGUGUGAUUGCACAACAGUUCUUUAAUCCCCACUCCCACUGAUGGACGUCCAGGUUCUUUCUAGGUGUUUGCUAUUGUGAACAGUACUGCUGUGAACUUUUUACACUGGCAUUCUUACAUUGCCCAUCAUACAUGGGAAGAGUUUCUCUUGGAUGUAUUCCUAACAGUAGAACUGCCGGGUCACCCGGUAGAUGAAUAUUCAGCUUUAAGAGAUAAUGCCAAUCUGUUUUCCACAGUGAUUGCACCUAUUUACCCUCCCAUUAGCAACACAAAAAACAUUCAACAGAUUUUCAAGACUUCUCCUUUUUUCUCUUUAAGUUGAAGACUAUUUUAAUUUUAGUACUACCCCAAAAAAGUGAAUAAAAACUAUAACCCUGUCUAGGAGGAGACUACAAUGUAAAUGAGAAGAACCAUCAUAUCUGAAAGAAGUAGGCAGCAAUUCCAAGAUACUAUGUAAGUAUUAUGAUAGUUCCCAAUAGCGUGAAAGUAAACAUCAAACAAACUUUUCUGUGAAUGUUCCUGUGAUGCUACAGGAACAUAAACACGUAGUCUGUCACCCUCAUGCCUCCUUUUCACCCCUCCUCAUCAAGGCUGGGGACAUGGUACAAACUUCAAAAUUCAUUUGAAGUUUCACAUCUCAUUUUAAAUUUUUAAAAAAUUGCCCAUUACUCCAAAAUACAACCAUUUUGUUUCAAUGUAAAAUAAUAUUUUUAUCACUAAUCUUUGAGUACAAUUGAUAACCCAAAGUUGUGUGACAUAUUUAUGUGGUGUUAAUCCCUUCUUCCUCGCAUAUUCACAAGUACAUAUACCUCAACUGAAGAAGCCCAGUUAUAAGUGAUGGGGAUGUCUUGGAUUUUCUUAUACAAUCUCAAUAUCCAUUUUCGGAAUAAAGUAAUCUCACAUUGGAAAUAUUUUCAAACAACUUUUUCAAAAGGUAUUUUACAUACCACAAGUUUCUUUUGAAAAACAAAUACUUUCUUAUUGUUGAAAUGUCAUAUUUACUUUGAAGGGACAGAUUAAGUGUGUUUAUUUGUCAAAACUACAUGCUACAUAAUUCUAACUGCCAUUUGUCUUUACAGAAAAAGUCGGCAGAUUUGUAUCGUUUCUGUCAUGCAUGCCAUUUUUUUACUCUGGUGGAAAUUAAGGCAGGAACUUCUGUGUUACAAAAUAUUUUAAUAGUUUAAUAGUUCCACCUCUGUGAUUGCUUGCAAAGUAGCCAUAAAUUCUGCCCAUUCCUGCAAUGUGAUUUUACAGACCUUCUCAUGAAGAAAUGAAGUAUUUUUCUCUAAGCUUUGAGUCUGGGCUUGGCCACGUGACUUGCUUUGGCCAGUGGGACAUUAGCAAAGAUGAUGCAAGCAAAGACUUGGAGAAAGCUUGUGGCAUUGAGCUUCCUUUCUCAUUCUACUCUUUGCUCUUCACUAAUCACCAAGUGUAGAAACCUAGACUUGCUGGUUAGAGGAUGAGACACCCUGUGGAGCUGAGAUGGGUUAUCCCAGCUGAGCUCCUCCACCCCCCAGCCUGCCAGCUUAUGAGUGGAGGCAUCCUAGACCAUCCAACCCCAAACGACUCAGCUCAUAUCAGAAGAACCACUCAGCCUACCCACCGAGUCAUGAGAAAGAAUAAAGGUCACUGUUUUAAGCCACUAAGCUGUUUGGGGUUUGUUUGCUUUUUUCUGUUUUCUUUCUUUCUUUUUUUAUUUUUGGUGAGGA